AGAAACUUAGGUUAACAAAAGACCAAGAGCCUUCAAAGCUCUAAGUAAAUGGACUACAUUUAGUUUCUG
rnacentral:tRNA from 1 species